GAGGGUAUAGCUCAGCGGUAGAGCACAUGCUUAGCAUGCACAGGGUCCUGGGUUCUAACCCGCAGUACCUCCA
rnacentral:tRNA from 1 species